rnacentral:misc_RNA from 1 species
GAUGAAGAACGCAGCGAAAUGCGAUACGUAAUGUGAAUUGCAGAAUUCAGUGAAUCAUCGAAUCUUUGAACGCACAUGGCGCCUUCCAGUAUCCUGGGAGGCAUGCCUGUCCGAGCGUCGUUUCAACCCUCGAGCCCCCGUGGCCCGGCGUUGGGGAUCUGCCACGGCAGGCCCCUAAAACCAGUGGCGGACCCGAAGGCCCUCUCCUUUGCGCAGUAGCAUCAGCCUCGCAUUGGGAUCCCUCGGCGUCCUGCCUCUAAACCCCCCACAAGUCCGCUCCGGCGGCACCAAGGUUGACCUCGGAUCAGGUAGGAAUACCCGCUGAACUUAAGCAUAUCAAUAAGCGGAGGA